AGCAGUGUGGCUCAGUGGAAAGAGCCUGGGGUUGGGAGCCAGAGGUCAUGGGUUUGAAUCCCGGCUCUGCCA
rnacentral:tRNA from 1 species